GACGAACGCUGGCGGCGUGCUUAACACAUGCAAGUCGAACGGAAAGGCCCUGCUUUUGUGGGGUGCUCGAGUGGCGAACGGGUGAGUAACACGUGAGUAACCUGCCCUUGACUUUGGGAUAACUUCAGGAAAUUGGGGCUAAUACCGGAUAGGAGCUCCUGCUGCAUGGUGGGGGUUGGAAAGUUUCGGCGGUUGGGGAUGGACUCGCGGCUUAUCAGCUUGUUGGUGGGGUAGUGGCUUACCAAGGCUUUGACGGGUAGCCGGCCUGAGAGGGUGACCGGCCACAUUGGGACUGAGAUACGGCCCAGACUCCUACGGGAGGCAGCAGUGGGGAAGAUUGCACAAUGGGCGGAAGCCUGAUGCAGCAACGCCGCGUGCGGGAUGACGGCCUUCGGGUUGUAAACCGCUUUCGCCUGUGACGAAGCGUGAGUGACGGUAAUGGGUAAAGAAGCACCGGCUAACUACGUG
rnacentral:rRNA from 1 species